rnacentral:rRNA from 1 species
GAUGAACGCUGGCGGCACGGCUUAACACAUGCAAGUCGAGCGGAAACGAUGAUAGCUUGCUAUCAGGCGUCGAGCGGCGGACGGGUGAGUAAUACUUAGGAAUCUACCUAGUAGUGGGGGAUAGCACGGGGAAACUCGUAUUAAUACCGCAUACGACCUUUACGGGAGAAAGGGGGCAGUUUACUGCUCUCGCUAUUAGAUGAGCCUAAGUCGGAUUAGCUAGAUGGUGGGGUAAAGGCCUACCAUGGCGACGAUCUGUAGCUGGUCUGAGAGGAUGAUCAGCCACACCGGGACUGAGACACGGCCCGGACUCCUACGGGAGGCAGCAGUGGGGAAUAUUGGACAAUGGGGUGAAACCCCGGCUGAUCCAGCCAUGCCGCGUGUGUGAAGAAGGCCUUUUGGUUGUAAAGCACUUUAAGCAGUGAAGAAGACUCAAUGGUUAACUACCCAUUGACGAUGACAUUANCUGCAGAAUAAGCACCGGCUAACUCUGUGCCAGCAGCCGCGGUAAUACAGAGGGUGCAAGCGUUAAUCGGAAUUACUGGGCGUAAAGCGAGCGUAGGUGGCUUGAUAAGUCAGAUGUGAAAUCCCCGGGCGUUAAAACCUGGGAACUGCAUCUGAAACUGUCAGACUAGAGUAGGUGAGAGGGAGGUAGAAUUUCAGGUGUAGCGGUGAAAUGCGUAGAGAUCUGAAGGAAUACCGAUGGCGAAGGCAGCCUCCUGGCAUCAUACUGACACUGGAGGCUCGGGAAAGCGUGGGUAGCAAACAGGAUUAGAUACCCUGGUAGUCCACGCCGUAAACGAUGUCUACUUCAGUCGUUGGGUCCCUUGAGGACUUAGUGACGCAGCUAACGCAAUAAGUAGACCGCCUGGGGAGUACGGCCGCAAGGUUAAAACUCAAAUGAAUUGACGGGGGCCCGCACAAGCGGUGGAGCAUGUGGUUUAAUUCGAUGCAAGCGCGAAGAACCUUACCUGGUCUUGACAUAUCUAGAAUCCUGCAGAGAUGCGGGAGUGCCUUCGGGAAUUAGAAUACAGGUGCUGCAUGGCUGUCGUCAGCUCGUGUCGUGAGAUGUUGGGUUAAGUCCCGCAACGUAGCGCAACCCUUGUCCUUAGUUACCAGCGGGUUAAGCCGGGAACUCUAAGGAUACUGCCAGUGACAAACUGGAGGAAGGCGGGGACGACGUCAAGUCAUCAUGGCCCUUACGACCAGGGCUACACACGUGCUACAAUGGUAGGCUACAGAGGGCAGCUACACAGCGAUGUGAUGCGAAUCUCAAAAAGCCUAUCGUAGUCCCAGAUUGGAGUCUGCAACUCGACUCCAUGAAGUAGGAAUCGCUAGUAAUCGCGGAUCAGAAUGCCGCGGUGAAUACGUUCCCGGGCCUUGUACACACCGCCCGUCACACCAUGGGAGU